rnacentral:ncRNA from 2 species
UAAAGGUUUGGUCCUAACUUUACUGUCGACUAUAGCUAAACUUACACAUGCAAGUAUCCGCAUCCCAGUGAGAAUGCCCUUGAAGCUCUUUUGAGAUCGAGGGGCCGGUAUCAGGCACACAACAUCGCCCACUACACCUUGCUCAGCCACACCCCCAAGGGAACUCAGCAGUGAUUGAUAUUAAGCCAUAAGUGAAAACUUGACUUAGCUAAAGCUAAAUAGAGUCGGUAAAAUUCGUGCCAGCCACCGCGGUUAUACGAAAGACUCAAGCUGACAGACAACGGCGUAAAGAGUGGUUAGGAAUACCGUAAACUAAAGCCAAAUAUCUUCUUAGCUGUUUAAUGCGCUCGAAAACAAGAAGUACAAUAACGAAAGUAGCUUUAAAUCUCUGACCCCACGAAAGCUGUGAAACAAACUGGGAUUAGAUACCCCACUAUGCAUAGCUGUAAACACUGAUAUUUUAAUACAUUUAAUAUCCGCCCGGGUACUAUAAGCAUUAGCUUAAAACCCAAAGGACCUGGCGGUGCUUUACAACCUCCUAGAGGAGCCUGUUCUAGAACUGAUAACCCCCGCUCAACCUCACCCCUUCUUGCCAAUACCGCCUAUAUACCGCCGUCGUCAGCUUACCCCAUUGAGAGUUCUACAGUGAGCAAAAUUGGUAUAACCCAAAACGUCAGGUCGAGGUGUAGUACAUGAAGGGGGAAGAAAUGGGCUACAUUCGCUAAUUAGCGCACUACGAAUCACAUGUUGAAAUUACAUGUCUAAAGGAGGAUUUAGCAGUAAGAAGAAAACAGAGUAUUCUCCUGAAAUUGGCCCUAAAGCACGCACACACCGCCCGUCACUCUCCCCAACACAACAAUCAACUUAAAUAAAUAAUUAACUAACCAAAGGGGAGGCAAGUCGUAACAUGGUAAGUGUACCGGAAGGUGUACUUGGAAUAAU